AUGGUUCAGAGCCCUCUUGGAAGUGUUCCUCAUAUAAGUAAGGCCAGGUUUUUGUAUAGCUUCGUGUCACUGUGGUGGGUGUUCGGAGGAGGAACGCAACUCACCGUCACAGGCCAGCCCACCGUAUCUCCUACGGUGCAAGUCUUUGGUUCUUCUGAGCAAGAGAUCAAAAGCCAGAACAAAGCCACCGUGGUGUGUCUCCUAAACGACUUUUACCCGCCUGGCUUCAACCUGAAAUGGAAGGUUGAUGGUACCGAGACCGAAUCUGGAGUGGAGACAACCAAAGCCACCAAGCAGGGAGACAAAUACCUUGCCAGCAGUUACCUGACCAGGAGUGCUUCUGACUAUGGAGGUCAUACUUACGUAUGUGAAGUGACACAUGAUGGGAAGACCUUUACGAAGACUUUUUCAGGAUCUGGAAGUUGUUAACUCCAACCUUUAUCCUGUCCGGCCAUUCAGGCGGGAGAAAAAGAGUACCUUCUCCUGGAAUCUCAUUCCUUCUUUCCUAAAUUGAGCUUUAUCACUAAUGUCUCUUUCUAUUCCAAGUAGUUACAUCCUUGUAUUCCCCCCAUACUUUUGCCCUUCCAAUGGAUUCCCCCCUCCCCCACUUUGAUCUGUUAGAUUCUACUGUCAGCACAUUAAUAAA